rnacentral:rRNA from 1 species
AUUGAACGCUGGCGGCAGGCCUAACACAUGCAAGUCGAGCGGAUGAAGGGAGCUUGCUCCUGGAUUCAGCGGCGCACGCGUGAGUAAUGCCUAGGAAUCUGCCUGGUAGUGGGGGAUAACGUCCGGAAACGGGUGCUAAUACCGCAUACGUCCUGCGGGAGAUACUGGGGGGUCUUCGGACCUUACGCUAUCAGAUGAGCCUAGGUCGGGUUAGCUAGUUGGUGGGGUAAAGGCCUACCAAGGCGACGAUCCGUAGCUGGUCUGAGAGGAUGAUCAGUCACACUGGAACUGGAACACGGUCCAGACGCCUACGGGAGGCAGCAGUGGGGAAUAUUGGACAGUGGGCGAAAGCCUGAUCCAGCCAUGCCGCGUGUGUGAAGAAGGUCUUCGGAUUGUAAAGCACGUUAAGUUGGGAGGAAGGGCAGUAAGUUAAUACCUUGCUGUAUUGACGGUACCAACAGAAUAAGCACCGGCUAACUUCGUG